GUGCUCGCUUCAACUACACAUAUGUUAAGUUGGCAUGAUACAGGGAAGAUUAUUACGGCCCCUGUGCAAGGAUGACAGGCAAAUUCAUGAAGUGUUCCUUAUUUUU